rnacentral:rRNA from 1 species
CCGGGGUUUCUUUACCAGGUACUGUCAUUAUCAUCCCUGGCGAAAGAGCUUUACGACCCUAAGGCCUUCAUCACUCACGCGGCAUCGCUAGAUCAGGCUUGCGCCCAUUGUCUAAGAUUCCCCA